CUACCACCGAACAUCAAAGCCGCCCAUUCCCUACAGAUCUUCAAGCACCACCUACAAUCUUAUUACAAAGCCAAACUGUUUACCUACAUACCACCAUAGUUAAUCUUGUUCUAUAAUUCGUUGUACAGUAUCCUAUAUGUUAAGUUCCAUGUAAUCUGUGAUAAGUUCGUGCAUAAUUGUCCUAGUACGCCUCGUUAUCCAUUAAUUGUUAAGGGGUCGAAUAUCAAUUGGAAUUUAGUUUCUGUUUUCUUCUCCUGUCGCAGCAUUCUCUAG